rnacentral:lncRNA from 1 species
CUCAAGGUUUGCCAAGAAGCUCUCCAUUCUGUGUAUCACAAUGCUGUGACUGUACUUCAUGCCAGACUUGACACCUGCUGUGACUUGGGGCUAGGCAUGACUUCCAGUGGAAUCUUCUAGACAAUCCAAUCACAGGUAUGCAUUUCACAGCCAAGAUGCUGACUGUGACAUCCACUGUGAUAUGAAGAGGGUAUCUGAGGAGCAAGAGCACUGAGGACAAGAGAUGAGCAGAAGACAUCUGGGCCAUC